GAUGAACGCUGGCGGCGUGCCUAAUACAUGCAAGUCGAGCGGAAAGGCCCUUCGGGGUACUCGAGCGGCGGACGGCUGAGUAACGCGUAGGAACGAACCCCAAAGUGAGGGAUAACUGCUCGAAAGAGUAGCUAAUACCGCAUGUGCUCUUCGGAGUAAAGCUUCGGCGCUUUGGGAACGGCCUGCGUCCUAUUAGCUAGUUGGUGAGGUAAUUGCUCACCAAGGCGACGAUAGGUAGCUGGUCUGAGAGGAUGAUCAGCCAGACUGGGACUGAUACACGGCCCAGACUCCUACGGGAGGCAGCAGUAGGGAAUUUUCCACAAUGGGCGAAAGCCUGAUGGAGCAACGCCGCGUGCAGGAUGAAUGCCUUCGGGUUGUAAACUGCUUUUAUAGGUGAAGAAUAUGACGGUAACCUAUGAAUAAGGAUCGGCUAACUCCGUGCCAGCCGCCGCGGUAA
rnacentral:rRNA from 1 species